rnacentral:rRNA from 1 species
GGAAUAUUGGACAAUGGGCGCAAGCCUGAUCCAGCCAUGCCGCGUGAAUGAUGAAGGCCUUAGGGUUGUAAAGUUCUUUCACCGGAGAAGAUAAUGACGGUAUCCGGAGAAGAAGCCCCGGCUAACUUCGUGCCAGCAGCCGCGGUAAUACGAAGGGGGCUAGCGUUGUUCGGAAUUACUGGGCGUAAAGCGCACGUAGGCGGACAUUUAAGUCAGGGGUGAAAUCCCAGAGCUCAACUCUGGAACUGCCUUUGAUACUGGGUGUCUUGAGUGUGGAAGAGGGCAGUGGAAUUGCGAGUGUAGAGGUGAAAUUCGUAGAUAUUCGCAGGAACACCAGUGGCGAAGGCGGCUGACUGGUCCACAACUGACGCUGAGGUGCGAAAGCGUGGGGAGCAAACAG